UUUAAAUGGCCGCGGUUUUUUGACCGUGCAAAGGUAGCAUAAUAAUUAGUUUCUUAAUUGGGAGCUGGUAUGAAUGGUUUAACGAGAAAAAAACUGUCUCAAUUUAAUUUAAAUUAAAAUUUUAUUUUUAAGUAAAAAAGCUUAAAUAAUUUUAAAAGACGAGAAGACCCUAUAGAGUUUUAUAUAAAUUUUUAUAUUUAAAUAUUAAAGUAUAUUAAAUUUAUUUAUGAAUAUUCUAUAUUUAGUUGGGGUGAUUUAAAAAUUAAUUAAACUUUUUAUAUAUUUUUACAUUUAUUUAUGAAUAGGUGAUCCAUAUUUUUGAUUAUAAGAUUAAAUUACCUUAGGGAUAACAGCGUAAUUUUUUUUGAGAGUUCUUAUCGAAAAAAAAGUUUGCGACCUCGAUGUUGGAUUAAAAUUAACUUUUGGUGUAGC
rnacentral:rRNA from 1 species